rnacentral:lncRNA from 1 species
AAGGGUCUCCAUGCAACUGCAGGACUCGAAGAAGGGUCUCUUGAUUAUCACAACAAAAACAACAUGAUGGAUACUUCUUGUGGUGAGAAUACUAGUGGAUUCUUGCACGAUCAACCUUUCUUGGCCUCCGUGUUGUCACCAAGAAACCACCAUAAGAGCAGUGGCUCUGGUAAUCAUUUUGUGGAGGAUUCUCAUUUCUUGCGGACCUGUGGCCUUUGUAAACGCCGGUUGGCUCCUGGGAAAGAUUUAUACAUGUACAGGUAUGUUUACAUACAUAUAUAUAUUUUCGAAUUAUUUCUUAGAUUUUUUUUGUCUUCUUGAAGGGAUUUUUUUUUUCCAGUCGUGCCUUUUCUUUUGUUUUCAUUAAUUCGGAAGGAUUUUUAGCUUGGAAGCUUGGUGGACAUGUAAAGAUCUACCUAUGACCGUAUAUUGUUAUUUUGCUUCGUGAAUGAUGAGAAAUGAAGAUUUUAGCAAAAAGAAAAUGUUAUGUAAUGAAGUAAAAUUUAUCACUAGCUUCCACUUCUAGCAAAAGAAAAUCAUUUUCUAUUGACUCA